ensembl:lncRNA
AUGAAUAAACCACUACUGUGUUUCCCUUUAGAUAAAAAAAAAAAACUAUUAACAAAUCAAUUAUAUCCACGGAAAAUCACACAAAAUUAUGGCCGAUCAAUAAACAUGUAUUUAUUCUUCUCCGGAACUCUUUUUUUUUCUUUUUGGUUUCUCUUUGAAUUUCCAAAUAAUUCAAUUUACAGAGUCACAACAAUGAAUCAACAUAUCCUCAAAAAAAAAAAAAAUGUCAAUGCAAUAAUCAAAAUUUACCCAGCUGGGAUUUUCAGUACACAGAUGGCGCGCUAGUUGGAGCUCUUUGAUGCAAAACCAGAGUACUCACGAAUCAGGACAACAAGAAUUCCAGUUGUAGAGUAGGAACCUCAAAUCCUUACUCCUCGCCGAGAUGAUAACCAGCAUCCAUGAUGACACAUCCCACGACGACGCUUGAGUGGAUCUCCAUGAACUCCUCCCUCCUCGAACUGGUUAGAUGCAGCCGCGAAAAUCAAUAUAAAUCUCCCGAUUUCGACGAUCUCUCAGUGUUAAAGAAAAAUAAACACACCCUUGACGUGCACUCUCAACUAGAUAAACCACUGCAAAGCUUAUUCCCACAAUAAACCAAAAAAAAAAAACCACGGGUAUUUUCUUCCGGAUUUCACACGACUUAAACAACUUAUUAUAACUGAACCGCCACUCUGCACUCAAGAAAAUUAAACUCGGGAAUAUUCUUCCGGGUGAUUUCACAAUCUAAAGCUAAUAAAACAAAUCACCGUAAAGACAUAAAAAUAAAACACGGAAUCUCUCACGUGUGAUCCUCGUGCUAGAUCUCCUCCUCAUGCGAAACGAAAAAAAACAAAUUCUCUCGCCGAACUCUCUCGAAAUCUUCGUUUUUUUCGUGCUGCAAACUGACUCGUGACACUUUCACAGUUCACACCAAUCUCUCGCGCAAACUUUCAUCACCAAACGGCAUUUAAAAAAAAUGUCCUUGAACAUUGAUUUCUCUCAGCUGUCCGGCGAACUGCAGCUCAUCCGCCAGAGAGAGCGAGAGGGAAGGCCAACCAAAAAAAACCCUGAGUUUUCUCUCUAAACCCCUGCACCUCGAACUUUCUCAGAGGUCAAAGUACACAGUUCUCAUCGUCAGACUGACGCUCUCAGAAAAACACAAUUAAAUGAAACCAUUUAUAAUUUGUUUUCAUUUACACCCACAUAUUUGGAAAAAACUUUUAUAAACAUGUCUCAUAUGAACAUGAGAGAGAAAAAACUAAAGUCCAUCAACACUUUGUUUGCGUAUGAAUACCAUUUAGUCCAAAUACAAAUAAUUAAAUUAUCUUAUUUAUAAACAAAAUAAAUGACAGGUAUACAUUUAGAAAACCCAAAACAUUUUUCCUAGGUCUCUACAGUCAUUAUCCAGAUUCUGCAGAAGACGUCAGGUUUAUGAAGCUGAAAAGUGGCUUCUCGGAUACAGAAUAAGCCUAUCCUACAAUAAAUGACAUUCUUGAUAGUGAUUCGAAAUUGAAAAAUGCUGUCUCCUUGUGUAGAUGCAGUGUGAUAAAACCUCUGCCUCAAACAGGGCUAUAUAAGAUGAGCAGACCUGACAGUCAAUUCACUCUGCAUAAAACCACACUGAGGCCGCUAUAUAUCCAGCCAACCUAUCAGAGCAGACACUUACCCCUUUUUGUGGUCCUCAGCCCCUACCCUCUCGUCCUCUACAUCUGUCCAUCAUGCUUCUCCCUCCUUCCAUCUUAUCCUCUCUUCUCAGCCAUUCUGUCUAUGGGACAUCAGGAGCUGUUCUCAAAAUGAGCUUGUUCAUUUUCUGCUGAAAUAUGAAAACAGUUGUAACAGAAGUUAUACCUUAGCGCUAUUAGUGGAUAUUACCUGUUAUUUCUUUCACAUGAGUAAUUGUUGUUAUUAUUUGCGUGCCAUGGCUAAUUUCAAGUAUUGUUUUC